rnacentral:lncRNA from 1 species
AAAAGAUCUCUGCAAAGCACCAAGAGAAGACAGUAGGGCCACUAACUAUACUGAUCCUGUCAUGGCAACCCAAAAUACACGAAAACGUGAUUCAGACAUGGAAGAGAAUAGAAUUACAUACGAAAACAAAGAAAGAAGGUGCUUCACGGUUGACGUAACCGUAUAAAAUAAAACACGGGUAGCACUUUUUUGAGUAACUUAGAUAGUUCAUUACACGAUCUUUGGCAAGCAGUCUAUGCCGGCUUCAUCAAGUGCAGAUUGCUAUGGAUGAAGCCAGCAUGGGGCGCAGGUAGAGGGAGCCAAUGGGGUCCUGACCCCCUCAAAAGAUAUCACGAUUAUAGCAGAAAAUGAUCGGUAAUGUGAAAAAAAACCACAAAUUUUUACUAUGAUUUACAGAGUGACUCUUGCCUCAGACCCGGAGCACACUCCGUAUCAUUUAUAUACAGUAUCUCGAAUAUUGUUCGUUCAGCUAUAAUUGUUGAAAUAAAAUAAAGUUUAAAUUAAAAAAAAAAACAUUUUGUUACAAUCAUGGUAACUCUCUGGUUACCAUGCGUAGCAACUGAAAACAGUGUAAUUUAUUACAGUAUUAUAUGGUAUAUUGAGGAAGAACGUAAAUAAACUCUUCCCUGGUAUAAUACAGUUUAACCUCCGUGCGGCGACCUAACGGAAGCGAUCGCCUCCCUUUACGUCCACUCUCAUAUGGUCCCGUUUGUUCUCUCUAUCUAAUUUCUUUGAUUUACCUCCCGUAAGCGACGACCUUAAAAGUAAUAUCUUUUGACAACAAAUACAUUCAGAUUAUCUAACAAGUCGAGUUUAUGUGUAAAAUAAUUUGUAAACAAAAAUUGAAUUUGAACCGAAAAUUAGAGGCGGCGAUGGUGCAACGUUACGUGUGUCAAACAAAUAUUAUAGGCUUAAGAAUAUAAAGGCGAUAAGAUAAAUAGGCCUAUGCUUUAUCACGUCCAAGAAAAUGCUUGCAGUGUAGGUAACAGCAAAACCGGGGAGCAGUGUAAUGUCACUGUUCCCUGGAAAAACAUACCUGCUUUAAAAAUAUUUUAAAAUAGGCCUUCAUCGGAGGUUCAUGGCUAUAAAAUCAUUACCCCUUUCUUGGUGGAACCAGGAAAGAGUGAAAUCUCACACCAAAAUGUAUUUCCUUGUUUAAAUUUAUUGCGUUGAUGCUGAAGUGAUUCGAGCAACGAGGCUGGGGGCCAGGGGCGACAAGCCCCCCUCCCCCGAUUGGGGGCCUGAGGCCAACAAGGGCCCCGGUUGCGGUCCAGUGGCCCUUGUCGGCCCCUGGCCUCAGCCAGUUGCUCGCUGCGCUCGCAAGACUUGACGCCCCUUAAAUUUUACCCUUUCUGCGCCCCUGCAUGGGCUGCUGGCCAAAGCUCGUGUAAUAAACUAUUUAAGUUAGUCAAAAAAGUGCUACCCGUGUUCUAUUUUACACGGUUAUAAAAUUGAAAUGGCUUCCUGGUUAUUCCUGUUGUCGACCAUUAACCGAAGAUUUAUUGCAUGGGUGAGAUUGCCAUGAUAUUACCGCCGACAAUUUCCAGGAUUAUGUGAUAAGCAAUAGAAAACAGUGAUCUGGUUUGUGCGACACAGUUGACACAGAUUCAACUAAUAACUUGGAUGCAGUAACACGCGAAACAAGAUUUUUGGUUUUUAGCAGAACAAUUUGCAAACACUGCAACUUAAAACGUUGAUAGUACUGGCAAUGAGAAACUCAAGAUUUCGGGACGCCUGUGAUGAUGCUAGCUCUCCUAUUAAAAUGUGGCCGCAGGAACCUAAAACUAUGUCUAUCGUCUGGUGGUAUGACAAUCGCCAUGAUAACGAAAGGCUGCAGAUUCGAAUCCCGCCAGAGACAUGUUUUUCAAAUAUCUAAAAAGAUUUUUGUUAAAAACUAUACAAUAAGCAACACUACUAGACUGGCAAACGUUUUAUAUGACAAAAGAAUAGGUCAGCUUAACCGUACGCCAUGCGGAGGUAUUACGAAUUGGCACAUUGACUUCUGAUUACUGUCUUAAAAUUAAAAAAAAAUCAUAAUAAUGAUUUAGGCCUAGGCCUACUUACCAAGGAUAUUUUAUUAUAUAUUUUUUUUAGUUUUUCAUCCGUUCUUUCUUUGUUAGUUUUAUUAUCUAUUCAAUAACACAAACACAAUCUAUGAUAUAUAAUGUGUGUAUAAACAUUCUAUAAUAGGCCCAUGUAUACAGCAUAAUUAUUUGUACAUAUUAACAAUCUUUUUAUUUAUCUAUUGUCGGGUUUAGCAAAAUUUUAGUUGUCAUGGUAAUGAUAUAUUGAUCCAUUUUGUACACGCCUCCCACUCCCUCCAAUUCUGGAUAGAUAUUUGGGCUAUGAUGAUAUGUGUUUACUUAGGACUAUAUCAAAAUUUGCAUCCAUAAAUGUGAAAAAACAUAUUCUGACUACUUAAUGUGCGCAGUAAUUAAUUUAGCAUUUACCAAAAGUAAACUCAAGUCAACAUGAACCAAUCUCAAGGUAACGUAUAGAAAAAUGUUAAGAAAGUUAUAAUACCAAAGAUAUUAUGUUUAUAAGAUGUUUACUUACAGGCCUACUAUAAGAAAUGUUUACACGUUCCUCCCAAUCCUACUAACAAGCCUUUCCCGGCAAUUGUUUGUAACAUAAAUGCUAUUUAAAUUAAGUUGUAUGUUCAUUUAAGAAAAAAAAGUAAAAUAAGAUUUUGUUUUUUAUAAUCUAUUUAAGAAGAUUUACAUCAAUUCUUUUAGUACUAAAAAAUGAAAAUGAGAUUUUUUGAAAUUUUAUUUUUAGAAUAAUAGAUGUGUACAAUACUUUUGUUUUAUUUAAAAUGUUAAUUUGCUGGGUGGUUCUCAUGCUUGUGACCCCUGGACUUGGUGGGAGUCUUCCAGAUCUUACAAUUUCAAUUUUCUUUUAUACUUAUUUGUAAUAUGAUUUUUAGAUUUGAAUAAAUUGUUUUGUGAUUGUGA